rnacentral:rRNA from 1 species
AUGAACGCUGGCGGCGUGCCUAAUACAUGCCAGUCGAGCGAACGGACGAGAAGCUUGCUUCUCUGAUGUUAGCGGCGGACGGGUGAGUAACACGUGGAUAACCUACCUAUAAGACUGGGAUAACUUCGGGAAACCGGAGCUAAUACCGGAUAAUAUUUUGAACCGCAUGGUUCAAAAGUGAAAGACGGUCUUGCUGUCACUUAUAGAUGGAUCCGCGCUGCAUUAGCUAGUUGGUAAGGUAACGGCUUACCAAGGCAACGAUGCAUAGCCGACCUGAGAGGGUGAUCGGCCACACUGGAACUGAGACACGGUCCAGACUCCUACGGGAGGCAGCAGUAGGGAAUCUUCCGCAAUGGGCGAAAGCCUGACGGAGCAACGCCGCGUGAGUGAUGUAGGUCUUCGGAUCGUAAAACUCUGUUAUUAGGGAAGAACAUAUGUGUAAGUAACUGUGCACAUCUUGACGGUACCUAAUCAGAAAGCCACGGCUAACUACGUG